rnacentral:rRNA from 1 species
AACGAACGCUGGCGGCAUGCCUAACACAUGCAAGUCGAACGAGAUCUUCGGGUCUAGUGGCGCACGGGUGCGUAACGCGUGGGAAUCUGCCCUUUGGUUCGGAAUAACAGUUGGAAACGACUGCUAAUACCGGAUGAUGACGAAAGUCCAAAGAUUUAUCGCCAGAGGAUGAGCCCGCGUAGGAUUAGCUAGUUGGUGUGGUAAAGGCGCACCAAGGCGACGAUCCUUAGCUGGUCUGAGAGGAUGAUCAGCCACACUGGGACUGAGACACGGCCCAGACUCCUACGGGUGGCAGCAGUGGGGAAUAUUGGACAAUGGGCGAAAGCCUGAUCCAGCAAUGCCGCGUGAGUGAUGAAGGCCUUAGGGUUGUAAAGCUCUUUUACCCGGGAUGAUAGUGACAGUACCGGGAGAAUAAGCUCCGGCUAACUCCGUGCCAGCAGCCGCGGUAA